ensembl:lncRNA
CCGAGAGGGGCGCGGCGCCCGUGCCGCGCGGAAGACGGGGCGGCGGCAGCGCCUGCGGGCCCCUCGGGAAGAAGCGGAGACGCGGGAAGCGUGCCCGCGGCGCCUUGUCGGCGUCGUCGGAGCACACGGGCGGAAGGAGGACGUGCGCGGAGGCGCCGGGCCGCUGGUGGUCCGGGAGGAGCGCGUUUCCGCGGGGACUCGACGGCGUCCCCGCGGGCUCGGGCGGACGAGGGGCGCGGCGGAGUCCAGCCGUCCGAGGCGCCCGCCGGAGAGCGCGGGAGCCGGGGUUCGGGCUCGGAGACGUUUCCGAAGGUGCACUGUGAAGUGCCUACAUGCAUAAACGAACACCCCUCCAGUUCCUCGAUAUGAAGAUGAAAGCCCCUCAGGGAAACUCCACGCAGGACCCAAGACCCACCUGACCCCAUUACAUGAGGAUUUCCCUCCUGGGAAGUAGAUGGAAGGAACACACUCUCUGCCCGUUUCUGAAGCAAAGUAUGCCAAGAUGAGAAACUGUGACAGAUAUGCCUGAGAUGACAAAGCUGGGAAGUGGCAGGUGAGGACUUGAAUCCAGUCUGGGUGGAUUCUGUUGGCUGUGCUCUCAGCAAGUGGCCCCGAGAGAUUGCCCGCUGGCUGUGUUACCCACCAUUCCCACUGAAAAAGAUAAAUAAGGGUUUUGGAGAGGUGGUUAAUGAUCCUGCUUCGAUCAUUCUAUCUUACCCCCAUCACAAUUUCCUGUGUAAUUCCACCUUUCUAGUCAAUGAGUAUCACUUUCUCCUACUGCGUGCAGACCUACUCCACUCGUCGGCCAUGCUGUGAAGGCAUCCCACAUACAAAGUGGAGGAAGACUGGCCCAGAUGUUAGCUCAGGGCUCAUCUUCCUCAAGCAGAAAAAGAAGAGGACUGGGUGAAUCUUCCUCACCAAAACAAAACACAGAAGUGAUUACAGCCGCUCUUGGUGAGGAGGCGACAGGACACUCCAGUCCAAACUGCUUAAAACAUUGUGGAAAACAAUUUAAGAAUAUCCAUCAUAAGACAUAAAGUUUUCCAUGUUUUUUGACUCAGUAAUUCCAUUUCUGAGGAUCUGGCGUAUGGACAUGAUCCUAAAUAUAUGAAAAACUUUAUGUACAAUGAUUUUCAUAGCGUGUUAUUUGUGAAAACUGGAAACAAAUUAAAUGUACAAGGAUAAGUGACGUAAUUCCAUAAAUCAUGAUAUGUCCUCUUGAAAUAUUUUGUAGCCAUUACAAUUUUGUCUACGAAGGAUAGGUAAUAAUGGGAAAAAAUGCUUAGUAGAGCAUGUCAAGAAAAGAGCAAAAUUCAAAAUUAUUCUCUAUGAUCAUUAAUAUUUGUAAGAAAAAAGCUUGGCAGAAACAAGAUGGAACAUCAAAAUCUUAAACUUGAUUAUUUUUUGGAUGAUGGGACCAUAGGUGAUUUUUUUCCCAUUAUUCUUGUUUUCCACUUUUUCUUUGUAUUUAUAUUACUUUAAUAACAACGGUUACACAAGCUGCUUUAAUGUUCCUGCGUCUUCCCUAGGUGACGACUGAUUGAUAGAUUGCUAAAUAUGUUGCAAACUGCAGACUUUCUCCCCUUUGGGACUAAGGGGGUGGCCACCAGGACCCCAAGAAAAUAAACAGCUCCAUCUUCAGUCCAUGGUGUUCUCAAGUCAGCAGACCGGGUUGAGGGCCUGGCUGGAGGGAAACUCGGCCCCUCAACUGGCUGCAUGUGGCAGCCGGGGCUCCAACCCUCUACUUUCAAUGGACAGAGGGUAUCCCGGCUCCUGAACUGGGGUGGGAGGGGGAGAGAGGUUUGUAAGGGCACUCACGUGGAAGACAGGGCAUCGCUCAACUCAGACUGUGCCACUGUAAGUGAGAUUAACUUCAGCCUCCCCUGGCACGAGAUGGAAAAGUUGAAUAGUUCCAAUAACUUAGACAAAGCACAAGUCAAAGGAUCCCAAAAGGACUGUAAUCCCUGGAAGAGUACAGUAUCCCCUCAAACAGACUCCCUUUCUAAAAAGACAACAAUCCAAACUCUGGGGGUAAAUUUAAUACUGACUGAGACCACACAGAAAAGUAAGACUGCAAAGGAGAGCUAAGUCAUUUAAAUCAGAAUUUUCUGUAAAAAGCAUCUUUUUUUUUUUUGAUUAGCACCUGAGCUAACAUCUGUUGCCAAGCUUCUUUUUUUUUCCUUCUUUUCCCCAAAGCCCCCCAGUACAUAGUUGUAAAUUCUAGUUGCAGGUCUUUCUGGUUGUUCUUUUUGUUAAAUAAAGAAAAUAUUUCAAAACAUUUUGGCCUAUCCUCAUUUUACAAACAGAUUUCUAGAUAUUUUCCCCAAGGUGCUUCCUAAGGAGAGACAGCAUCUGCUACACAGGAGAUUAUACUUGCAAGCACUUGAAGAAGAACCCAUCUCCAAAUCAAACAUUUGUUUUAUCUUAACAACUGAAAUAGGUUCUUGUCCUACAAAGCUGGAUUUGAUCCUCCUACCCAAUAAAGCAUGUUUUGAUUACUGACAUGUUCGCUGAUGUAGCUGUAGUCAGAAAGAACACGUCCACUUGCUGAAUUCAUCCUUCCUCUCUCUCUCUUCCUUCCUUUCUUCUUUCUUGUCUUCCUUGAGUCACAAAUUCAAACGUCCAUAAGGGCCAGGCAAGCAGUGUGAAUGGACAAAGGUGCCGGAUGCAGGUGCAGGGAGCGCUGGAGCCCUGGUGAGCUGGAGAGCUCAGGCUCCAGGUAAAGGGAAGUCAGUGGGUGCCUUGCAGGAAUGCAGGCCCAGCGCUAAGAGGUCAUCCUAUUGUUGCAAUAAGGCAGAAUUAUAGACGUUCAUAUGAUAUCUAUCAGGUUUGUAAAUGGCUGCAACCAGUUCAACAGCAAGUAGCCAGUUUGCAGUCUCUGAUUUACCCAUUUAAGCUUCACUGUCUCAUCUAGACCAUGGGACUAUCAUACAGAUUAAUACUUUUUUAAAAUAACAAAAGCAAUACUCACUGAGCCUGUACUUUGUGCUGGGCAAUGUUGGAAGUGCUUUACUGGUAUUAAUUCAUGUUUUCCUCAUAUCAGCCCUAUGAAGAAAGCAGCUAAGAACCCAAUUUUAUAGAUAAGAAUUGAGGUAUGGACUAGAACAGAUGCGAUGAUGCGCGUAGCAAGCUUAUGACACCACACUGUGCUACAGGAACUCAAUGCAGGACCAUAAUUGUAACUGGGAGAAGAGGACUCGAAACACGUGAGGGAAAAGUUGAACAACAGUGUUCUGAAGAGCAGGGAGUCCAGACGUGUUCCAGUUAUCUUGCUGUGUAACCAAUCACCUCCAAACUUAGUGGGUGAAGCAAUCUUAGAGGUGUGUCCUCUCUCAUGGUUUGGGGUGAUCUGGGCAGUCACUGGGGGCACUGGUGCAGUUGUAGUCACGUGGCUUCUGAGGCUGGAGUCGUGUGAGGCUUCUCCACUCACAGGGAAGCCCCAUGGACACAAUGGCUAGAGCAGCUGGGUGCAGGUUGGGCGUGUGACUCCCCACAUGGCUGGCUUCAGCUUCCUCACAGCAGGGUGGCCUCAGGGCAGCUGGACUUCAAUGGUGGCUCAGGCGCCAAGAGUGAAUCUUCCAAGAGACAAGAAGUGGAAGCCACAAGCCUGUGAAGACCCGGCCCUGAGACUGGCACAGCCACUUCCCUUUGUUCUACGGACCAGGGAGUCACAGAGCCCGUCCAGAUAGAGCGGAAGGGGCACAGACUCUGCCUCCUGAUGGGAGGAGUGACCAAGAAUGAGUAGCCUCCAUUAAUCUGCCAAAGAAUGGCAGACCAGAUGGAUGAUGUCCACCAUCCCACUGGGGAGGCUAGCACU